rnacentral:rRNA from 1 species
AUCUGCCCUUCGUACUGGCAUACCCUCGGGAAAUUGAGGUUAAUUCCAGAUGGCCCACCUGUGCUGGAAUGCUCGGUGGGCAAAACGGCGCGUGAAUUGAAGCGCGUCCGCCGAAUGAUUAGACUGCUCCUGAUUAGGUAGUUGGUGAGGUAACGGCUCCCCAAGCCGAUAAUCAGUANGGGCAAUGGGAGUUGGACCCCCGAAAGCGGCACUGAGACAAGGGCCCUAGUCCUACGGGAUGCGCCAGGCGCCAAACCUUUGUUAUGCCCAAAAGCUUGAUAAGGGAACUCUGAUUGUCAGCCGGCUUUUGCCGACCGUCUUUUGGCGAACCUAAACCGUUCGCAGAAUACCUUCUGGGUAACACCACUGCCAGCCGCCAUGAGGAUACUCAUAUUGCGCACGGCACUCGGUAAUACUGGCAGAACUAGUGGUGCCCACCAAUCUUGGGUCUAAAGAGACCGUAACUGGCCUGCUACAUCCACUGGGAAAUCUUGGGGCUUACCCUCCAGGCGUGCAGUGAAUACUGACAUGCUUGAAAGAGCAGGAGGUCAGGAGUACUUCCAGUGUAACGGUAAAAUCUGUUGAUCCUGUAAGGACUACCAGUGGCGAGGGCGCCAGACCAAAACGCUUCUGACUGUGAGCGUUGAAGGCUANGAGAACGAAUCGGAUAAGAUACCCGAGUAGCCCUAGCGGUAAAUCAUGCAUACUGUGCUGUUGC